rnacentral:rRNA from 1 species
GCGCGAAAACUUUGCAAUGCGGGAAACCGUGACAAGGGAACUCUGAGUGCCCGUUAAAUCGGGCUGUCCAUCGGUUUAAAUAACCGGUGAAGAAAGGGCCGGGCAAGACCGGUGCCAGCCGCCGCGGUAAUACCGGCGGCUCGAGUGGUGGCCACUAUUACUGGGCUUAAAGCGUUCGUAGCUGGUUUGUUAAGUCUCUGGGGAAAUCUUCCGGCUUAACCGGAAGGCGUUUCAGGGAUACUGGCAGACUAGGGACCGGGAGAGGUGAGAGGUACUCCAGGGGUAGGAGUGAAAUCCUGUAAUCCUUGGGGGACCACCUGUGGCGAAGGCGUCUCACCAGAACGGCUCCGACAGUGAGGGACGAAAGCUGGGGGAGCAAACCGGAUUAGAGACCCGAGUA